CUCAAAUAGAAAGAGUUUCCACCUUUGAAUUGCAACUGGUUCCCCUGGUAUCUCGUGAAAGGACCUAACUGCAGGCUUUUGCAGAAUCCGCCCAUCAUGGCUCCCAUCUUGGCCCCUAUCAGAGACACCUGGGAACAGGAGCAGAAAAGAGACUGCUGCAAAGGAAUUGAACUGCAUGAGGAGGCAAGGAAGAUUCUGGAUUGCAUGGAGGGAAUAUUCUCAGCCCUGUGAGAUUGAACAUAGGUCAAGAUACUGAAAUUCAGAGAAGAUACCUAUUCAAGCCCACACAGCUUGGAAGGGGGGCAGAGACAGAUGCAAAUAAACCAGCUCUUCUGACCAUGGUUCUGAUGCCUUCCUGGCCGUCCGCACAGCCUCAGUCCAGAGCUCAGACAUCUUGUUCCCUCUCUCCCUGCCACCCUCUGGCAUUGCAAUGAGGGACGCACGACAUUGGAGAAAAAAGAGGGACAGUGCUGUCCCAUACAGAACCCAGUGUGAGUAGAAGCAGCCCUGGAGCCAAGAGCAAGGUGAACCCGUGGCAACACAGAUGUGGGGGCCACAGAGAAGAGGGAAGGGGUGUGGAAAUGGAGGCGCCAUCGAAGCAGAGAAAAUAGGGACGAUAUUAAGGUCAGGAUGUUGGGAGCUUCUAGUUUUUAAUCCGUUUUCACUGCCAAAGAUGCACCCCCAAAGGCCCAAAGCGACAGGAGUCACUGCAUGUGCCACAGGCUCUGAGUCUUCCAGAGGCUAACGCACCCUCGUCUGCCCUCUGACAGCUGUCAUUCACGGUGGGCACGGACUUCUGCCUGCCGCACCCACCUGGCUGUCUCUUCACCUUGCUGUCCUGGGGGUCUGAGGCCGCGCACCCAAGCACUUUUUUCUGACCCUCCACGUAUUGCUGCUGCCUCCCCUUUUGGGGGCAGCCCCAACUACGUUGUAAAGAAAGAUUAUGCUAAAGCAAAAUGACCAGAAUCUCAAGUCUGACUUC